GUUAACAACAAAACGGACGAUUAAGUAACAAACCCACGCGCCCACGCCCGAUGAACUCGGCUAGCCAAGGCUGAAAACGGAAAUCAAUUUUCAGAGAAAUAUUGGUUCAAAUUACUUCCAUUUCUCUUCAAAUUUGUUCAGUUUUCUCCCCAUAAUCACUAAUUUGUGCAUCAAUGGCGGAUUGGUCUGAAUUACCCAGAGAACUCCUCGAAGAAAUCCUAACCCAUUUCAAUUCCUCAAUUGAUGCUUCACGAUUUACCUCUGUAUGUUCAUCAUGGCGCCAUUUAUCACCUUCAGAAUUCAAUUUUAAUGGAGAAAAAAACUUCCCUCUUUGUUUCAAUGGCAUCUCUGUCUGUAAGCGAUCAAUCUUGCUUCUAUCUCCUCCCCAAAUCCCCAUUCCUGAUUCACCUCACAAUCCUACUUCAUGGAUUAUCAAAGUUGAAGAAAAAGGACCCAAAAGAUUUCGAAUUUAUUUCCCACUUUCAUGGUCUCAGUUACCUUUACCCUUUAAUUUUCCUAGAGUAAUGGAUCUUUCUAAUAUUCGAAUUCGUGAUAUAGCUUCUGAGUAUUUUCUUUGUUAUACUGAUAACACGUCUGAAUUUCUCAAUUUACUUAUGGAAAAGGUUGCAUACUUAUCUAGGUCAAAUAAUAGUGAUGAUUUCUAUCUUUUGACUAUUUAUGUUUCUGGAAAAUUAGCUUUGUUUAACAAUCUGCGUAAUCGAUGGCAUGUUAUUUCUGAUAAAGUUGAUUUACCUUAUGAUGAUGUUAUUGCCUUUAAUGGGGAGUUCUAUUCUGUUGAUUAUACUGGAAGAACCGUUUUAGUUGGAGUUGAUGAUGUUGAUACAUUAAAAUUAGUGGCAAAACCUGUUUGCGGAGGCGAUAAGAAACGUUUAGUCGAAAUCGAUGGUGAAUUAAUGUUGGUGGAUGUAUAUUUUGGUCUUCCUCCAUGGGAGAACUUUAGCAAUAGACGUAAAAUGGAAGAUUUAGAUGAAUGUGUUGCUUCGAGGUCGUUUUGGUUUAAGGUUUAUAGGUUGGAGUGGGAAGGAAUGAAUUGGGUCGAGGUUAAGGAUUUGGGAAACUAUGUUUUGUUUCUUGGAAUGUAUUCUUCAUUUUCUGUUCUUGCUGCUGAUAUAUUGAUGGAGAAGGGAAAUUGCAUUUAUUUUGCAUUUACAGAUAAUUUUUACCCAUCACAUUUCAAUGAAGCUAAUGAUGUCUUCAAGUUUCAUUGUGGUGGUGUGUUUAAUUUGGAGGAUUCUAGCAUCACUUAUUCCAAUUCAUUUUGGCCUCCUCCCCAUUGGAUAAAGCCAUGUUUUUAGGAGUUGAAGCUGCAAAUGAGUGGGUGCAGAUUUUCUUCUUGUGGACGCAGUGUAAACUCAGGUAAUGUUAAGAUGUUAUCACAACUUAAAGGAGAAAUUAAGAACUGUCCGUAGGGAAGCAAACAUAGGAGAGAAAUUAUACUCUUGCCCAAAUUGGCCAAUAAGUUGAUAAAGUUCCUUUGUAUUUUAGUUAUUAUUGUAUAACAGUGUUAAUUUUGUUUUUAUUUUUUUUUAAAGAAUGGUGAUUGUGUCCUUUGAGUGAAAAAAACAAUUCAAAUUUUCAGAAAAUUUAGAUGUAAUAUUUUGGAAAAUUGAUAGAGUUAGAGGCACAAUGUAGUCUGUUGGAUGAGAAGAUAAGGCACAACCUAAAGAGUGAAAUCUAAUUUAUAAGCAAAAUUCAAACAAUUAUUAGUCAAACAAUAAAGUAUCAAUUGAGAAUUUAAAGUUAAUAAUCUACUUUUGUUGUGAUGUUUUUCUCGAAAUCUCCUUUGUAAUACCCAAGAAAUAAAAGUCACCUUAAAAUUGUGCUUGAACCUCCACUACGGGAAUGCUAAAGGUUAGAUUAUUUUUGGUUAAAGAAGGUAAUAGCAUGUGUGAAGAAGAAGAAGAUGAUAAAUAAGUCAAACUAACAUCUAUGACUUGGUUGAUAUAGAAAUUUAAUAAUUAUACCGAUGACUAGUAAAAUUACUCUUUUUUUGCAAAAAUAAAAAAGAUUACAUUUUUAUAGAAUAAAUAAAACAUUGACCUUUUAUUUACAGAUGACUAAAAUAUUGCCUUUUUAAAAAUAAUUUUUCCAAUAAUUAACCCCCCUAAUACCCACCUAAUUAACUACAUCCUCCUUUUUAUUAUAGCCCCUCACCUUCUGAUUUAUCUAAACCUAAGUCCUUAUUUGCCGUAUGUUCUUCAUUCCUGUUCUUCACUCCACUUGUGUUCUUCAUCUUCUUCUUGUUGUCUGAGGCUUUGAAUUUUCAUCUUCUUCUUUCUCACUGAGGCUAUGUUCUUCAUCUUCUUCAUUCCUCAUCCUUCAUCUACUCUCUCUAUCUUCUCUUGAUCUCAUAAACCCUAUAUCUACAAAAUAUUAUGUUCAUCUUAUAUAAAAGCCCUAAUUUUUUCCUAGAUCUACUUUCUUUUCUGGCGAUUUUGGUGUAAAAGCCCUAGUUUUUGGGUUUGAAGUAAAAGCCCUAAUUUCUGACGAAUUGCUGCGUUUUGUUACCUUUGCUGAUGAUGGUGUUGAUGAUUUGCUGCGGAUGAAGAUGAGGUAAAUAAGGAUACAAAUACUGUGCAUGUUGAAGAAAAAGGAAAAAAAUGGGGAAAAAGAUGAAGAUGCCUAUGAAGUUGCAGGAGUUUAAAAAUUUGGAGACUACGUAGACUACUCCGGUAGCUUUGUUACGGAUAGAGAA